UUAAGUUCAGCGGGUAUCCCUACCUGAUCCGAGGUCAACCUUUGAAAAUUUGGGGUUGUUGGCAAGCCUCCACCAGGACCCUAUAGCGAGAAGAAUUACUACGCUUAGAGCCUGGCAGCACCGCCACUGAUUUUAAGGCCCGCCCAGAGGCGAAAGCCCAACACCCAGCAAGCUGGAUUGGUUUAAAUGACGCUCGAACA
rnacentral:misc_RNA from 1 species